GAGCUGCUGGGGGCAGAGCGUGAGGCUGACGGCGUGAAACUGGGCAGAGCAGGCCGCGAUCUGAGGUUCUUGUGGCGGACACGGGCCUGGGCGCCGAGGCCCUCGCCGGGUGUUCGUUAACAGGCACAAGGCCAUAGUUAGAGAAACAAAGACAGAGCACGGCCAGGUCCCUUCAAAGCCUCCGGCCGACGAAAGGACUGGUUCAGAACUGAAGCCCGUGACGAAGCUGUCGCUUCUCGGGUCCACGGGUGGGACGCUGAACAUGCACCAGACAGCGCCCCGCGUCCAGGUCAGGCUUCAGCAGGUCGCGUGGCCCUCCCUGAGUGACUCCCACGAACGGGCCCAGCGUCCAGCUGUUGAACGAAGCAACUGAGAAACCUAGGAGCGCUGGGAUUUCAGCCAGAGCAGCAGCCCUAGGAAGUAGAUAUUCCUGCUGUUCCUGAUUUUACAGAAGAAACCAAGGCUCAAGUAAUUACCACAGGCCAAAUAAACGACAGAGGCAAAGUUUGACUCCCAAGACUGCCUUCUCAAAUACUAUACCAGUGGUUCUUAAGUGUUAAUAUAUGCAAAAAUCAUAUAAAAUACUGCUUAAAAUGCAGACCUCACUCCAAAGAUUCUGACUCAGCAGGCCCCAUGUUUGCCCUGGGAAUCUGGUUUUUUGUUUGUUUGUUUUUGUUUUGUUUUGUUUUCAAUAAAAUACACCAGGUGAUUCUAAUUUGA